rfam:Ailuropoda melanoleuca scaffold255_13, whole genome shotgun sequence.
GUCUGGACGCGCUGGGUGGAUGCGGGGGGCUCCUGGGAACUGGGUUGGAGCCGAGCUAGCGCUAGCCAGGCGCAAGCGCGCACAGACUGCAGCCACCCGAAGACCACCACCCCCGGGCCACCCGGAGACCCCCGCGCAGAAUCGCCUCUGGAUCCCCCGCAGUCCGCGGGAGGUAAGGAGCGGGGGUUGCAAACUGCCCCGCGCCCCCCGGG